ACCUUCGUAGCUCAAUGGAUUCAGAGCACCGAGCUUCUACCUCGGGUGUUGCAGGUUUGAGCGCAAGCUACGCUUGCUCGCAGCCGCUUUGCGGCCGCGUCUGUCGCAGCACGUUGUGCUGCUCGGCUGAGUCCUGCCGAGGGUGCCA
rnacentral:tRNA from 1 species